rnacentral:sRNA from 1 species
CAUGCUUGAGAGUUAGGGAGAGCUGCCUGGGCUUGACCGCGCCUUGGUCUGAAAGUCCCGGCUUUUGCCCCUCCUCCUUUUUCCCCUGUUGACCAUUCCGCUUUGCAGAGUUUUCAAAAACUGGAGCGAAAAUGAUGUGGGCGGGGCAAAGGCGGCGGAAAGAGGAGAGAACUGAAACUGGCGCGGGAACUUGGGUUUCCUGGUGGCCUCCCAUCCAAUUCCCACGAACCAGCUUUCCUCUUAAACCUUGAAAAGAGAAAUUCAGGAGUUCGAGUAUAAGUUUUUACUCGUCCUUUCCUCUUUCCUUUCAGACAGGCGCACCCCAGGCAAAAAAUGUCUCGCGGGUUAUUGGCGCCAGGCUUUCAGGGGACAGUGGGGCGGGGCGAGGUGGGCACGGGACGUUAGGCAGCCGUUGGCCUUCCCUAACGUCACACCGUCCUGUCGCCGUCACACCGUACAGCGUGUACGUCGCCGUGUAUCCUGCGCCUGCUGCGUGGGGGAGGGGACUCCAAGAUGAAUUUCCUCUGCUGACAACCAAACGUGUGUUCUGGAAGGGUGUUUU